AGAAGGUGGCGUUGAAAUGGUCGUAGAGGCCCGCAUCGAGCGCGUUCCAGGUGCGCGCGGCCCGCGCCAGCGCCUCGGGGAUGGUGGCCAGGCGCGACGAGGCAGCGCGCGCGUUGAGCUUGGCGUAGAGCACGUCGUCCAGGUCCCAGGCCAGUAGACGCCGCAGCAGCACGAGGGACUCGUCGAAGUACUCCGCGAUCAUGACGAGCGAGAAGACCUCCUCCACCUGGCGGAUGAGGCCCGCCAGGAUAAUGUGCAUUAGAAGGAGGCGGUCCCAAAGAAACUGAGCACCGAGUACUGUCAGCCUGCUUGAAGAGCUGGAGAGUGCGGAACUACCUGAACUUUCUCAGAUUGCUUUUAGUCAGUCCUUCAGAAAAGACUGUGUGUCUGGCAGACACCUUGACUGAAAACCUGCAAGAGACCUGGAGUCACGAGUUCUCGGCCGCAUUUGGAUUCAUGAUUUAUAGAAAUGGAAAGAGAAUAAAUGUUUGUUGUUUUCAGCA
rnacentral:lncRNA from 1 species